rnacentral:lncRNA from 1 species
AACUACAGGCGGCCCAUUGAUGAGUUGCUGAGGUCGAGAGGAGGGCUGCAUGCACGAUGAAGUGCGACUCCUUGAUUAAGUUAGAGAGGGAGAUACUUGACUCUCUAGAGGCCCAGUGGAGAUCUCUCCUAUAAACUCUUUGGGUCUUCCAAGGAGAGAGCUUAAGAUGGAGGGUGGACUCCUUUUAUAUAUUGUAUUCCAUAAGUGACCAAACCAUCCUCAAGCUGCUUGUUGUCGGGGGAC